UAGGAACUCGUUGCUACUUCGAAGUAAAGGAAAAGCAGCCUAGUCGGCUCGCAGAACCGAUUACGAGGAAAAGAAUCUGAGCGCAUGAUACGUUUCAUUCAUAGAUGCGUUCCCAUUGGAUCAACAAAUGGAACAGGGAUCGCACGCUUGAAUGAGAUUCGACGCUGGCAACGAGCCUGCCGAGCUUCCCCGAAUCUAUUUUAUACUUCUGAAUCAUACAGUGAAUUCGAACGGCAAUAUUGCGCGAUAUGCGUAACGCACUUUCGUCAUGGGUUUCUAAAAAAGCGGAACACCAGUCGUAAGAACUUUCGCUGAUGGGUUUAAAGGAGAUUUUAAUGCUACUUGGAAAUUGGAAAUAGAAGAUCUAUGACGUAAUACAGAGUUAUUGUAGAUAACUGUUGAUAGCUUGUGAUGAUGGGGCAAAAAAAUCAUCCUAAAAAGUAAAAUAUCUGCGAAAGAUAGAAUGAAUUGAAGAAUAAUCUAUCAAAAUCACUGGACACUGAGAUGCAAAGACGAAGGUAGAGCGACGACUAAAUUGCAGUUUGAAGAAAGGAAACGUUCAAAAUAAAUCCUCUCUUCCCUUGCCAAUUAUAUUUACUAUAAAGUUCGCAUAAAAACAAGCGUCUACUGUCAUUGUAACGAUGUUUCCGUGAAAUUAAUGCUGACCAAAAAGAAAUUCCACUUCACAAUUUAAGUGUUCUCAGUAAUCAAGGAAAUUCACUAACAAAAUUUUUGAGAGAUUACGUUUUGGAAGACACCCUAAGGUUGUAUCACCUUGCCAGAUGAAGAAAGAUCAAAUGAAACUGGCAGCACGUGUUGAUUCUCAGGCUGCAUCUACAGAAUCUGUGUUACGUGAAUUCAUCUCCUCCUUCCUUUGUCCCUAUUCCCCUUCCUCGUUUCAACCUUGCUGCUGUCCAUCUCUAUUGCGCACCUUCGUUUACACGCAUGAUGCUUAUAGGUAACGAGAAACGACCUAAACCGAUGCAUCCUAAUAGUCGGAACUUGUAACGUGAACAGAAUAGGUCAAGUUGAAUCUAUUUGAGAAGUUACGUCGAAUGCAAAAGCGUAGGCACUGUCGUGCCUGAUAUGGAUCAGCCAAGGUUCGAUCAAGGAAGAGAUACCUACGCGUUCACUGGAUCGAUCGUUACACGAUCUUUAAUGUAAUGUUAUGCACGACAAACAAGCGCAGUUUCCGUGCACUUUUUCUAAAAAAAGAACUUCCAAUAACGGAAAGAUAAAGGAUAAUUAAUAUGCAUUCAUUUGCUAAUACAUCGGCUGUCGGUAACAUCUAACUGCAAUGCCGAUAAAGUAGAUUAUAUUGAAACUAUUUCUAAUGCUACCAAAUAGAUGGCACAAGUCGAACUAUCGAAAGUUUAGUGUCAAGGCAACCCACGUUGUAGGUGAAAGGUAUUCCAAAAAAAAAAUUCUGCAAACUGUUGCACUGAGUCAUCUUUUCGGUCAAGAUCAAAAGCGCAUUUCAAAAAUAAUUUGUAUUCACCCUCUGCGGUGACACACAAUAUAAAAACAAAUAUUUUUUUCGAGUAGUUUACUAUAAUUUUCAACAAUUUUGAAAUACUGGCAGCUGUUUGAAUUAGUAACUUUGCGUAUUAACCUUUGAAAAUAUGCCAAAAAUAUAUGUAAAUCCGUCAGCAGUUCAAGAGCAUUAUAAUUUCCUGGUACAUACGUCAGAUAGAAAGUUCAAGAAAAAAGAAUAUACAUCAGGAAUCAGAUUACGUAUGCAAAGAGGUCGCAUAUAUGCGCGCGUGCAGUCGCAAGCGUUAGAAACAAUUUUCUAAACUGCACUAUGGAUUCAAUUUAUUAUUUGAAAUCACCCGAGUUUCGCGCCCAGCAGAAAAGAUAAAUAAGUAUUUACUUAUGAAACUAAACAGACAAUGGGAGGAAAAUUGAUGACCAUAAAAGGCCCGCAAAAUAUUGUGAAUACACAAAUUUGUUUAUUAAUGGGUUAAACGUUAAAAGAAACGUCAACUCACAUCCAGGUGGCGAACCCUUCUUAAUGGUGAUUUUAUAGGGUUGAUAGAUAGCGCUUCGUUCUAUCUUCCCGUACAUCGUUCGAUCCAUAGCCAUAAUUUCUUUUUCUUUCUUUUCAAUGUGUCACUUGUAAUCGCACUGACAUUCAUUAGCUUUGCCACAGUGUUCACAGUGAAAUUACGAAUUCAUUGAAUACACCAACGUGGUAUUAUUAUGUAGCACUUUUCCCGUGGUAAUGCUUCUCUUCGCUGUCUAUCGCGAAUGACCGAGCUGUGUAGAGGAUCGAGCGGUGGUGGGGCUGAUGCACACACCAAGCGGCCACUUGUUGAAUGUUGUCGGCGAAUUUUAUACACGUAUAAGUGUGUGCGAAUAAAUCGCUGCACUGUUUGUUUAUAAAACAGUGCAUUGAUACGUUGAUCGAUCGAUAGAUUUCUCACUAUUUACAAAUUUGUUUCAGUACCAUCUUGCGACGCAUAAAUUGAUCACAUGCGCGCACCACUCGUUUAACGAACUUCCCAACAUCUCUCAAAAAGUGAAACGGAUAAGUUUUUUGUCAGUGUGAUAACAAGGGAAGAAUUUAACGCUCUAUGGAUCAGAAUUAAACAGUGUAUGUAUUAUUAACUCUUUCUAGACCGGAUAGACCAAAUUUGACCAAGGGAAAACGAGAAGUUCAAAUGCACCAGUGUAUUUCAGGCGCUCGCCCGCAUUCGCUACGUCUAUCCUCUCCCCGCAACGGCAAUAAUGAGAGGACAACGGCGCCGUGAAAUACACUAAAAAUACGUAGAAUCGUUGGCACCGAACACUUAGGACACGCUUGUAAUAUCACGCUGAUUUAAAGGUCUCUUCCUGUAAAGUGAUCUACGCGUAUCGUGCGUGAUUUUUUAUCAAAUACUUUUAAUGCUAACUGAUAUACAAAUUAGUUUCUAUCUCGGAAAUGAUAAUUACACUCGAAGAAUCAAAGUAUUAUCUUCAGAUUCCACUUUAUCAAAGAAAUUGUUGUAUCAGGUGCAGAGAUAAAAAAAGUGACAUUUUAAAUCUACUAUUGAAUGAAAUGUAUAUCAAGUAAAUGAAGUCAAGGGGUAAAUCAGUAUGUAGUAUGUUUAACGGUGACGCAAUAAAUCGUUACUAAUUACCAUAGACCCGUGGUCGUUAAGAUAAUAGUUACGUAUUUACAUUUUUCUUGCUUUUUUUCUAAAUUUACUAUGUAACAUCUGGAGUUUAUUACUAAAUUUUAUACGAAUCAAACGUAAAGCAAUAGCUAUAUAAGUAUAUAUGAAAUCAUAUACACAGACAAAAUGAAAAUUAUUAACUCAUUUUACAAAUAUUCAUAAUAAAUUUGUACGUGCUCAAUUUUUCAUAUCAUUUUUAUGAAUAUCUGUACAGAUUGCUUUACUGAACAUAAAUACAUAAUCAUAUUUUCAAUAAUAUUAUAAUUAUGAAAUUAUUAAAUUAAGAUAACAUAUUGUAACCAUUUAUAAUUCUUAAAAACAUGAUUAUGGAAUUGGGGAUUAAUAAAAACAGGGAUCUAAAAAAUGAUGUAACGAAAAAUACAUAUCAAAACGCUAUGAUAAUUCUGACAGUUUAAUUUAGGUUUGAGGUUAUUUAAAAAUGACACGAUUUAAUUUAAAUUUACUCACCUAAAUCAUCCAUAUUCAAUCUAUAUUAAUCUGAUAUGCACUGUUUCACAAAUUACACUCGAAUUUCAAUAAUUUGAACCUAAAAUUGCAACGAAACACGUGAAAAAUGAAUACUAAAUUUACCCGUUCGAGUUGAGCAAAGCAAACAUCAAAUAUGGAGAACCCGGUCUUCAGCUUUUAAUUUCCAGUACAGUUGUCUAACCUUCAUAUACUCGUAUAAAUUUUUUUUCCCAGCUUGUACAAAAUAUUCAAACGCACAAUUUAUCAGGAUAAAGUUUAUAUAUAACUGUUUAAUUUAUAAUAAUAAAUUUAUCAUAUUUUAUACUUUUUUAAAUUUAAAUACAUGUGAUAAUCAAGUUGUAGAUCUAUAUUUAUAAAAAUAUUUUACACUUAAAAUUAAAAUUCUAAACAAUUUAUAUAUGUACACUAAUCUUUAAUACUUUAAUAAUUUUCCUACCAAGAAGAAAAAUCACCAAAUGAGUUUGCUGCAACUUUUUUCUUCUUAAUUGCAGGUGCAGUAUUGGAUUCAUCUUUUUCCGUCCUACAGACAAAAUUAAAUGAUUACCACUGUAUUAAAAACAUCUAAUAUAAGUGAUUUUCUAUUUAA